UUUAUUUAUAUUUUCAUUGCGUUUCAUCAUAUUUUUUUUAACUUUGAGUUUUUUCUAAUGUUAGAUAAUCGGACAAAAUAAACAAACGGUGAAACAGAUUUACAUUACAUAAUAAACAAUACUUAUGACUACUAUCGAAUAGUUUUUGCGCUGUACAAACUACUUACAUCGUGUGCAUUGAAGGCAUUACUACAAUAAUUCUUGAGGGAAUAAAACAAGAGGCUCUCAAGAGCCUGAAUCGCUCACCUUAAUUCUUUUGGUUAAAUCUCUCAUCAAUGAUUAUUUUGGCUUUUCAAUUUAUUUAAAUGUUCUUUGGAUCGUCCUAUUUUCUUC
rnacentral:lncRNA from 1 species